CGCCUUCCUUCUCCCCAGUUUCUGCUGGCUGUUAGUCACAUGAUCUAUAAGGCUGAAGAUGAUGUCACGCUAACUCAAGCUUUCGAUGAACUCAACCACUUAUGCGUACCUUUGGUGAAGCUCCAGCCACUUAUGGGCAUUGAUGCAGCUAUGAAUGAACCGGAAGUAAAGGUGAAUCCAGAUGAAGAUGUAGAAAUACUUUAGAAGCAAUUAUGAAUGACUUCCAACACCUAUUGUCAACAAACGACAUGGAGAUAGAUGCACCGUGAUCUUGUUGGUUUCCAUCUUGGCCUCAGUUUUCCUUUAUAGA